rnacentral:tRNA from 1 species
AUUGAAGAUAUUAAGGUAGUAAUUUUUUACUUUAAAAUAUUAAUAAAACUAGUAGUUUAUCUAUACAA